UACGUAGGGUGCAAGCGUUAAUCGGAAUUACUGGGCGUAAAGCGUGCGCAGGCGGUUCUAUAAGACAGAUGUGAAAUCCCCGGGCUCAACCUGGGAACUGCAUUUGUGACUGUAGAGCUGGAGUACGGCAGAGGGGGACGGAAUUCCGCGUGUAGCAGUGAGAUGCGUAGAUAUGCGGAGGAACACCGAUGGCGAAGGCAAUCCCCUGGGCCUGUACUGACGCUCAUGCACGAAAGCGUGGGGAGCAAACAGG
rnacentral:rRNA from 1 species